UACGGAGGGUGCAAGCGUUGUCCGGAAUUAUUGGGCGUAAAGAGCUCGUAGGCGGUCUGUUGCGUCGGCUGUGAAAACCCGGGGCUCAACUCCGGGCCUGCAGCCGAUACGGGCAGACUAGAGUUCGGCAGGGGAGACUGGAAUUCCUGGUGUAGCGGUGAAAUGCGCAGAUAUCAGGAGGAACACCGGUGGCGAAGGCGGGUCUCUGGGCCGAUACUGACGCUGAGGAGCGAAAGCGUGGGGAGCGAACAGG
rnacentral:rRNA from 1 species